UACAGAGGGUGCAAGCGUUGUUCGGAAUUACUGGGCGUAAAGCGCGUGUAGGCGGCUUUUCAAGUCUCGUGUGAAAGCCCUGGGCUCAACCCAGGAAGUGCGCGAGAUACUGACGAGCUGGAGUAGCGGAGAGGAUGGCGGAAUACCCGGUGUAGAGGUGAAAUUCGUAGAUAUCGGGUGGAACACCUGUGGCGAAGGCGGCCAUCUGGACGUUCACUGACGCUGAGACGCGAAAGCGUGGGUAGCAAACAGG
rnacentral:rRNA from 2 species